rnacentral:rRNA from 1 species
UCUUGGUCAUUUAGAGGAAGUAAAAGUCGUAACAAGGUUUCCGUAGGUGAACCUGCGGAAGGAUCAUUAAAGAAAUUUAAUAAUUUUGAAAAUGGAUUUUUUUGUUUUGGCAAGAGCAUGAGAGCUUUUACUGGGCAAGAAGACAAGAGAUGGAGAGUCCAGCCGGGCCUGCGCUUAAGUGCGCGGUCUUGCUAGGCUUGUAAGUUUCUUUCUUGCUAUUCCAAACGGUGAGAGAUUUCUGUGCUUUUGUUAUAGGACAAUUAAAACCGUUUCAAUACAACACACUGUGGAGUUUUCAUAUCUUUGCAACUUUUUCUUUGGGCAUUCGAGCAAUCGGGGCCCAGAGGUAACAAACACAAACAAUUUUAUCUAUUCAUUAAAUUUUUGUCAAAAACAAGAAUUUUCGUAACUGGAAAUUUUAAAAUAUUAAAAACUUUCAACAACGGAUCUCUUGGUUCUCGCAUCGAUGAAGAACGCAGCGAAAUGCGAUACGUAAUGUGAAUUGCAGAAUUCCGUGAAUCAUCGAAUCUUUGAACGCACAUUGCGCCCCUUGAUAUUCCAGGGGGCAUGCCUGUUUGAGCGUCAUUUCCUUCUCAAACAUUCUGUUUGGUAGUGAGUGAUACUCUUUGGAGUUAACUUGAAAUUGCUGGCCUUUUCAUUGGAUGUUUUUUUUCCAAAGAGAGGUUUCUCUGCGUGCUUGAGGUAUAAUGCAAGUACGGUCGUUUUAGGUUUUACCAACUGCGGCUAAUCUUUUUUUAUACUGAGCGUAUUGGAACGUUAUCGAUAAGAAGAGAGCGUCUAGGCGAACAAUGUUCUUAAAGUUUGACCUCAAAUCAGGUAGGAAUACCCGCUGAACUUAAGCAUAUCAAUAAGCGGAG